rnacentral:sRNA from 1 species
CGGAUUAGUACUCGCCAAUACGGAUUC